UUCUUUCCACGACUCUCCCUGACUCAAUAGUUAGGACUUGAGACUCACUUCGGACUCAAAUAUGUAUGACUUUCACGCAUCACGCAUCAUCUUCAUCUGUCUGUUUUCUUUCAAACUAUCUUAUUCUAACAUAUUAAAAGCAGGGCGGCACGCCUACGGGAAAAGAAACCCCAGCAAGCAGUUGCUACUCUGCACUGAAUACCACCGAAGAGUCGAGCGCGUUUCCUCCUGACCGCACACAUUGUAAUAUUUCUCAUACAAUUUUCUAUUAUUGAGAUAGACGUUACCACAAGUGAACGAAUGUACACAAAUAAUCCUCGGUUACUUCGGAAACUUUUUCAGUAUAUAUUCCUAUAACCAUAAGAAGAUAAUGCUCAACUUGAUGCUGCUCACCUACACUUUGAGUUCCGUCUCUCUGGCAGUAGCGCACUAUAAAUUUGGGGAAGAUGUCAUUUUGGCCUGCUUAGGACAAAGUACUCCAUCAAAUUAUCUUUUUGUGUUUUGGAAAUUUGGAAAAGUUGACUUCCUUUAUUAUCAGAAUGGAGAGAUUCAUCAAAAUGAUCCAAGAAAAAAAUUCUCAAGUGACAAAGAGGGAAUUGCCAAAGGCAACUUUUCCCUCACCAUCAACUCAAUCAAUUUCUUGGACAGAGGAGAAUACAGCUGCUAUUAUCAAUGCAACUCUCCUGAUGGUCCUCUGGGUAAAGGACCUCAGCACAUGUUGAAUGUUCACGGUUGGACUAAGUCUUUAAACGUGGCACUUAAGGGCACUGUGAACAUACCGCUGUACAAAUCCAGAGCAGUGGUGUUGUUUUUUGAAAAUGGGACUGAGCACAGGGUGUGCAGGGUGAAUAAUACAAAGACAGACUGUGAUCAUAGCAGGUGGUUAGCUGAAGUGGAGGAAGACACUCUAAAACUACACAGUUUCAGAGCUCAAGAUCAAGGAAUGUAUAUACUGAGAGACGUGGCAACAAAUGAGUCUAUUUGUAACAUUUCAAUAUCUCUUGUCGACGGAAAUGGAACCACUACAGUCCCACAAUCAGAAGCAAAACACACACCAAAACUUCUCUGGAAGAGAGGGUUCUUUCCUACUAUUGUCUGUUUCAUACUAUUCCUUGUUUUUGUUGUUGUUGUUGUAUGUAGAAUAUGCAGACAAGAAGGGAGAAGCGAUCGAAAUGCUGCUCCCAUAGAGAUGGACGUGAUUAACGGCAAUAAUGAACAUUAGGUCUCAUCAUCCAGCAGGAAUACCUUGGAGAUACAAAAUGAAUCCAAUUUGCAUUGCACAAAUAUGUCACAAGCAUUAUCAAUCAAUUCUACCCAUUCUUUCCUGAAUUCUCAUGUGUCAGCUGGUCCCAUUUCAUCUACAGAGCUUUCCUUUGUGGAAAAUUCUAAAUUUAAAUCUGUAAGAUUUCAGAAACAAAGCUUAUAA